rnacentral:lncRNA from 1 species
GGGGGGAGAAGAACAGUGGAAGUAAAAGGAAGCUACGGGACUAACGCUUUGGCUUAUCACUAAGAGAAGAGAACAAGACUGAGAAAUUUGGAUUUAUUGCAUCAAUGGAACCGUUUCAAAAGAAUAAGUUCUGCCAUUUUUAUAGAGUGCCAGUCAAGUGUGGAAUAAACAAUAUGAUUUUGUAAAAGCUAUUUAUGUUUUAAUCAGAC